ACGCAAGUUGCGCCUGAAGCCAUUAGGCUAAAGGCACGUCUGCUUGGGCGUCACACAUUAUGACACCCGUACCCACUUAGUUCCCUUUUGGGGGGUAGGCUAGUGCGUGGUUGGACAUUGGCCUCCCGUGACAUUCUUGUGCACGGUUGGUCUAAAAAUCGAGUCCUCAAUCAUGGACAUCACAACUAGUGGUGGUGGCUGAACUAUUGCAAUGUGUUGUGUAUGUCAUGUCAUUGUUGGCUUAUUUCUUUGACCCAGUAGUACCGCGACUAUGGUAUCUUGACUGCGACCCCAGGUCAGUCGGGGAUCACCCGCUGAGUUUAAGCAUAUCAAUAAGCGGAGGAAAAGACACUUACAAGGAUUCCCUUAGUAACGGCGAGCGAACCGGGAAUAAGCCCAGCUUGAAAAUCGGGCAACAACAUUGUUCGAAUUGUAGUCUGG
rnacentral:rRNA from 1 species